GAGGCAGCAGUGGGGAAUAUUGCACAAUGGGCGCAAGCCUGAUGCAGCGACGCCGCGUGGGGGAUGACGGCCUUCGGGUUGUAAACUCCUUUCGCUAGGGACGAAGCUUUUUGUGACGGUACCUAGAUAAGAAGCACCGGCUAACUACGUGCCAGCAGCCGCGGUAAUACGUAGGGUGCGAGCGUUGUCCGGAAUUACUGGGCGUAAAGGGCUCGUAGGUGGUUUGUCGCGUCGUCUGUGAAAUUCCGGGGCUUAACUCCGGGCGUGCAGGCGAUACGGGCAUAACUCGAGUACUGUAGGGGUAACUGGAAUUCCUGGUGUAGCGGUGAAAUGCGCAGAUAUCAGGAGGAACACCGAUGGCGAAGGCAGGUUACUGGGCAGUUACUGACGCUGAGGAGCGAAAGCAUGGGUAGCGAACAGGAUUAGAUACCCUGGUAGUCCAUGCCGUAAACGGUGGGCGCUAGGUGUGAGGGUCUUUUCACGACUUUCGUGCCGUAGCUAACGCAUUAAGCGCCCCGCCUGGGGA
rnacentral:rRNA from 1 species